rnacentral:rRNA from 2 species
GGGUUGUGAGGUUAAGCGACUAAGCGUACACGGUGGAUGCCCUGGCAGUCAGAGGCGAUGAAGGGCGUGCUAAUCUGCGAUAAGCGCCGGUAAGGUGAUAUGAACCGUUAUAACCGGCGAUACCCGAAUGGGGAAACCCAGUGUGACUCGUCACACUAUCAUUAACUGAAUCCAUAGGUUAAUGAGGCGAACCGGGGGAACUGAAACAUCUAAGUACCCCGAGGAAAAGAAAUCAACCGAGAUUCCCCCAGUAGCGGCGAGCGAACGGGGAGGAGCCCAGAGCCUGAAUCAGCAUGUGUGUUAGUGGAAGCGUCUGGAAAGGCGCGCGAUACAGGGUGACAGCCCCGUACACAAAAGCGCAUGUGCUGUGAGCUCGAUGAGUAGGGCGGGACACGUGGUAUCCUGUCUGAAUAUGGGGGGACCAUCCUCCAAGGCUAAAUACUCCUGACUGACCGAUAGUGAACCAGUACCGUGAGGGAAAGGCGAAAAGAACCCCGGCGAGGGGAGUGAAAAAGAACCUGAAACCGUGUACGUACAAGCAGUGGGAGCCCCACCACUAAGCCAGUGGUGAACUCCACAUACGCAUCCUUUGCUGAGGAUGCGGUUAACGGAGCGAAAGCGACGUUCAACCGCAAAAGAAGCAGAGGGGGCUUAGUGGUGGGGUGACUGCGUACCUUUUGUAUAAUGGGUCAGCGACUUAUAUUCUGUAGCAAGGUUAACCGAAUAGGGGAGCCGGAGGGAAACCGAGUCUUAACCGGGCGUUAAGUUGCAGGGUAUAGACCCGAAACCCGGUGAUCUAGCCAUGGGCAGGUUGAAGGUUGGGUAACACUAACUGGAGGACCGAACCGACUAAUGUUGAAAAAUUAGCGGAUGACCUGUGGCUGGGGGUGAAAGGCCAAUCAAACCGGGAGAUAGCUGGUUCUCCCCGAAAGCUAUUUAGGUAGCGCCUCGUGAAUUCAUCUCCGGGGGUAGAGCACUGUUUCGGCUAGGGGGCCAUCCCGGCUUACCAACCCGAUGCAAACUGCGAAUACCGGAGAAUGUUAUCACGGGAGACACACGGCGGGUGCUAACGUCCGUCGUGAAGAGGGAAACAACCCAGACCGCCAGCUAAGGUCCCAAAGUCAUGGUUAAGUGGGAAACGAUGUGGGAAGGCCCAGACAGCCAGGAUGUUGGCUUAGAAGCAGCCAUCAUUUAAAGAAAGCGUAAUAGCUCACUGGUCGAGUCGGCCUGCGCGGAAGAUGUAACGGGGCUAAACCAUGCACCGAAGCUGCGGCAGCGACGCUGAUGCGUUGUUGGGUAGGGGAGCGUUCUGUAAGCCUGCGAAGGUGUGUCGUGAGGCAUGCUGGAGGUAUCAGAAGUGCGAAUGCUGACAUAAGUAACGAUAAAGCGGGUGAAAAGCCCGCUCGCCGGAAGACCAAGGGUUCCUGUCCAACGUUAAUCGGGGCAGGGUGAGUCGACCCCUAAGGCGAGGCCGAAAGGCGUAGUCGAUGGGAAACGGGUUAAUAUUCCCGUACUUGGUGUUACUGCGAAGGGGGGACGGAGAAGGCUAUGUUGGCCGGGCGACGGUUGUCCCGGUUUAAGCGUGUAGGUGUGUGUUCCAGGUAAAUCCGGUUCACUUUAACACUGAGGCGUGAUGACGAGGCACUACGGUGCUGAAGCAACAAAUGCCCUGCUUCCAGGAAAAGCCUCUAAGCAUCAGGUAACAUCAAAUCGUACCCCAAACCGACACAGGUGGUCAGGUAGAGAAUACCAAGGCGCUUGAGAGAACUCGGGUGAAGGAACUAGGCAAAAUGGUGCCGUAACUUCGGGAGAAGGCACGCUGACAUGUAGGUGAAGUGAUUUACUCAUGGAGCUGAAGUCAGUCGAAGAUACCAGCUGGCUGCAACUGUUUAUUAAAAACACAGCACUGUGCAAACACGAAAGUGGACGUAUACGGUGUGACGCCUGCCCGGUGCCGGAAGGUUAAUUGAUGGGGUCAGCGCAAGCGAAGCUCCUGAUCGAAGCCCCGGUAAACGGCGGCCGUAACUAUAACGGUCCUAAGGUAGCGAAAUUCCUUGUCGGGUAAGUUCCGACCUGCACGAAUGGCGUAAUGAUGGCCAGGCUGUCUCCACCCGAGACUCAGUGAAAUUGAACUCGCUGUGAAGAUGCAGUGUACCCGCGGCAAGACGGAAAGACCCCGUGAACCUUUACUAUAGCUUGACACUGAACAUUGAGCCUUGAUGUGUAGGAUAGGUGGGAGGCUUUGAAGUGUGGACGCCAGUCUGCAUGGAGCCGACCUUGAAAUACCACCCUUUAAUGUUUGAUGUUCUAACGUGGACCCGUGAUCCGGGUUGCGGACAGUGUCUGGUGGGUAGUUUGACUGGGGCGGUCUCCUCCUAAAGAGUAACGGAGGAGCACGAAGGUUGGCUAAUCCUGGUCGGACAUCAGGAGGUUAGUGCAAUGGCAUAAGCCAGCUUGACUGCGAGCGUGACGGCGCGAGCAGGUGCGAAAGCAGGUCAUAGUGAUCCGGUGGUUCUGAAUGGAAGGGCCAUCGCUCAACGGAUAAAAGGUACUCCGGGGAUAACAGGCUGAUACCGCCCAAGAGUUCAUAUCGACGGCGGUGUUUGGCACCUCGAUGUCGGCUCAUCACAUCCUGGGGCUGAAGUAGGUCCCAAGGGUAUGGCUGUUCGCCAUUUAAAGUGGUACGCGAGCUGGGUUUAGAACGUCGUGAGACAGUUCGGUCCCUAUCUGCCGUGGGCGCUGGAGAACUGAGGGGGGCUGCUCCUAGUACGAGAGGACCGGAGUGGACGCAUCACUGGUGUUCGGGUUGUCAUGCCAAUGGCACUGCCCGGUAGCUAAAUGCGGAAGAGAUAAGUGCUGAAAGCAUCUAAGCACGAAACUUGCCCCGAGAUGAGUUCUCCCUGAGACUUUAGGUCUCCUGAAGGAACGUUGAAGACGACGACGUUGAUAGGCCGGGUGUGUAAGCGCAGCGAUGCGUUGAGCUAACCGGUACUAAUGAACCGUGAGGCUUAACCUUACAACGCCGAAG